CGCUAACAUUGGGAGUCAAAGACAGACUAUAUGCACUUAGGAAGGGCAGCUUCAGUACUCUCUGUGAAGCCCAGAAAACAACUCUACAUUGGGCUCAUCAAGAAAAUCCUGGGAACUCCAGGAAGGAGAGGAGUCGUGUGAGUCAUCUGCUUUAUUCCAUGUGGAGGACACUUGCGAGGCAGGUUGUAGAACUUCUGUGUAUCACUAGAAUCAUUGACUCACAGAUCCAGUGCAGGAAAGGAGCGUGGAAGCCUAAUCCAAAGCCUUCAUUUCACAGGUGACAUCUGAACUAGUCCUAUUUAAUAUCCGACUCAUCCAAGCUGUAACCGAAAUAAAAGCGUAAGUAUUAUUUAACA
rnacentral:lncRNA from 1 species